rnacentral:rRNA from 1 species
CCCUUAGAUGUUCUGGGCCGCACGCGCGCUACACUGAUGCAUUCAACGAGUCUAAAACCUGGUCUGAUAGGGCUGGGUAAUCUUUUGAAUGUGCAUCGUGAUUGGGAUAGAUGAUUGCAAUUCUUCAUCUUCAACGAGGAAUGCCUAGUAAACGCAAGUCAUCAGCUUGCAUUGAUUACGUCCCUGCCCUUUGUACACACCGCCCGUCGCUCCUACCGAUUGAAUGUUCCGAUGAAUACCAUGGACUGAGAGUAUGAAUGGGUUCGCCUAUUUCUGCUUCGCGGGAAGUGGAGUAAAUCUUAACAUUUAGAGGAAGGAGAAGUCGUAACA